rnacentral:tRNA from 1 species
GAUUACUUAGUUUAAACAAAACGAAUGCCUUGAAAGCAUUAAAUAGAUUCAACCUCUCUAGUAAUCU